UAGGGAAUCUUCGGCAAUGGACGAAAGUCUGACCGAGCAACGCCGCGUGAGUGAAGAAGGUUUUCGGAUCGUAAAACUCUGUUGUUAGAGAAGAACAAGUAGGAGAGUAACUGCUCUUACCUUGACGGUAUCUAACCAGAAAGCCACGGCUAACUACGUGCCAGCAGCCGCGGUAAUACGUAGGUGGCAAGCGUUGUCCGGAUUUAUUGGGCGUAAAGCGAGCGCAGGCGGUUUCUUAAGUCUGAUGUGAAAGCCCCCGGCUCAACUGGGGAGGGUCAUUGGAAACUGGGAGACUUGAGUGCAGAAGAGGAGAGUGGAAUUCCAUGUGUAGCGGUGAAAUGCGUAGAUAUAUGGAGGAACACCAGUGGCGAAGGCGACUCUCUGGUCUGUAACUGACGCUGAGGCUCGAAAGCGUGGGGAGCAAACA
rnacentral:rRNA from 1 species